rnacentral:lncRNA from 1 species
CGUCUUCUUUUAAUAGUUAUUUUAUUUAAGUAGAAUUAAUUAAUAAAUGAGAUCUCAUUUUUUGUCUCGUUCGGGGGAAAGAAUAAAACUUAAGCUCAAGCGACCCAUUUUUGACCUAAUUUUCGGAUCUCGUCCCUCAUGCCCAUAAUUCAUAGGCUCAUACCCCUUAUCCUAAAAAAAUCCUAUAAGUGCCAAAAAAUCAGACUUAGAUGCCUAACGAGCGCCGCUAAUCAAGACUAGAGAACCCCCUUCCUCCCUUGAUUUUUUGUCUCCCUUGCACCACCCCCUUCACCAAAUUGCCGGAACCAGCCACAACUUCCAAGAACAACCAGCCCUCAGUGUCUUCUUCUCUUUCAGAUCGAAGAGAACAAGCAGUAACAAAAGACUCUUUGGCCAUGGCUUGUUCUUGGGCUUCACACUAAACGAACCUAUAGCAACCUAAUACACAAAAAUGGUAGAAACCUGGAGACCCUAGACAGCAGCUGAACGAAGAGGAAACGACAACACCCCUGAACCCCCUCUCCUUGACUCAUCUCCAAGACCUCUCCUCCCUCAUCAGAUCCGCCGGUUUAUCACCGAAAAUCAUUUCCAAUUCGCUAUCUCUCACCCAACAGCGACCCCACGCACCCACACUCAAAACGGGCAGAAACAAAGUGAGAACGUUCGAUGACAACAGUCAUCUAUUUCAGUUUUCGCUGAGAGUCGGGGUCCAUUCGAGGUUUGUUAAUUUCUGGCGAGCUUCGAGGUCGUCGACGGUGGUGGUUUGAGGUUUCUGUCCAGUUGCAAUUUUCCAUGGAGUGAAUCCCGUUCGACUCAUUUUUGGCUUCUAUUUGAUAUACGUUGAACUGUUUUCUUGCUUUCAAUAUGAAUUUCGUAUUGGUGUGAUCAUGUUAUAAAUUUGGUUCUUUAUUGCCAAUUUGGACUAGCUGGAAUGUUAUUGGAUCGAUUUUCUAUUGAGGGUUGAUUUGAAAGAAGUUUUGUAGAAGAUGGACUUGAAUCUCGUUCAUUGUUGUAGAUUGAUUUCUUGUAUCAAGUCUUUGCGCGGGUGAAGUAUAGCUGGUCACACGUGUUUUAUGUGGUAUUGCACAAUGAUGAAAUUGGUGAAGUCUAGAAAGUAUCCUGAAGUAUCAUUCAAGAAAAUUUCAUUGUCGUUCAGUCAAUUGAAGAUUUGCAAGAAGAUACCAAUUUGGUUUGAUCAGUGAUCCUGAGGUAAGAGUGUCUGCAUAAUAAGCCAUUUGCUCGAAAUUUAGGAGCAAUUAAUGUUUUACUCUCCCAUUUUUUUUGUAUUGCUCUAUUAGGUAGUUUUAUCUUAGAUUAAUAUUAAGAACCCCGAAAUCUAGUAGUUUGCUUUAGGCUCGGUAACUGAAUAAAUUGUCAUAGUUACGGGUACAUUUCCCGUGACGUGGUUGUGACACUUAAUUUCUAUAAAUUCAAGGGUACAUUUAUGUGACCAGACCACAAUUAAUCUUGUUAAUAAAUUGAACAUGUUGUAGAUCGAGGGUACGGUUCCCGUGACAUGAUUCCUUGUGUCUAACUAAAUAAUUAGUUGUA